AGCGGCGGACGGGUGAGGAAUACAUAGGAAUCUGCCUUUAGGUGGGGGAUAGCUUGGGGAAACUCAAGGUAAUACCGCAUGAUCUCGCAAGAGCAAAGUGGGGGACCGCAAGGCCUCACGCCUUUAGAGGAGCCUAUGUCUGAUUAGCUAGUUGGUGAGGUAAUGGCUCACCAAGGCGACGAUCAGUAACUGGUCUGAGAGGACGAUCAGUCACACCGGAACUGAGACACGGUCCGGACUCCUACGGGAGGCAGCAGUGGGGAAUAUUGGACAAUGGGCGAAAGCCUGAUCCAGCAAUUCCGCGUGUGUGAAGAAGGCCUUCGGGUUGUAAAGCACUUUAGGUUGGGAAGAAAAAACUUCUCCUAAUACGAGAAGCGUUGACGGUACCAACAGAAUAAGCACCGGCUAACUCUGUGCCAGCAGCCGCGGUAAUACAGAGGGUGCAAGCGUUAAUCGGAUUUACUGGGCGUAAAGCGUGCGUAGGUGGUUUCGUAAGUCGGAUGUGAAAGCCCCGGGCUCAACCUGGGAACUGCAUUCGAUACUGCGAGACUCGAGUUUGGUAGAGGGUGGCGGAAUUCCCGGUGUAGCGGUGAAAUGCGUAGAUAUCGGGAGGAACAUCAAUGGCGAAGGCAGCCAC
rnacentral:rRNA from 1 species